rnacentral:lncRNA from 1 species
CUCACAGAAAUUCAGAUCUGCGUCAGGCCUAGUAGUUAAAAAUGAGGAGGGUAGAAUCGUUGCAGCAAAAUCGAUCCUUCAUGACAAUGUUGCAUCUCCGUUUGCGGCGGAAGCAUAUGCAGGAUAUCAAGCAACAAGGUUAGGAAUUCAGAUGGGCUAUCAUAUUUUAGACAUAAUAGGAGAUUCAAAAACAGUGAUAAAAAAAUGCAAAAAUACAAAUCGAGACAAAUCAGAAAUAGGAGCAAUCAUCAGUGACAUUCAAAGCCUAAAGGAUUACUUUCAAGAAGUCAGAUUCCAGUUCAUCCCAAGAGUUGAAAACACAGAAGCCCACCGAUUAGCAAAAGAAACUCUCAAGAAGGAAGAAGAACAGUACCUGGAGGGAGGGACCUUAAGCCUUCCUAGAGGAGAAUCGGAGCCAAACCGCCUGGGUUCUUCAGAAUAAAAGAAAAGGGGAAAAGACUUUGGUUUUCGGCAUUGUGGUGAGACGUUUGGAAGAAAG